rnacentral:rRNA from 1 species
CCUACGGGAGGCUGCAGUAGGGAAUCUUUCACAAUGGGCGAAAGCCUGAUGGAGCAACGCCGCGUGCAGGAUGAAGGCCUUCGGGUUGUAAACUGCUUUUAUCAGCGAGGAAUAUGAUGGUAACUUAUGAAUAAGGAUCGGCUAACUACGUGCCAGCAGCCGCGGUCAUACGUAGGAUCCGAGCAUUAUCCGGAGUGACUGGGUGUAAAGAGUUGCGUAGGUGGCAUAAUAAGUAGCUAGUGAAAUCUGGUGGCUCAACCAUUCAGACUAUUAGCUAAACUGUUAAGCUCGAGACCGUUAGGGGUAACUGGAAUUUCUAGUGUAGGAGUGAAAUCCGUAGAUAUUAGAAGGAACACCAAUAGCGUAGGCAGGUUGCUGGGACGGGUCUGACACUAAGGCACGAAAGCGUAGGGAGCAAACGGGAUUAGAUACCCUUGUAGUC